AGAAUCAACGCUGGCGGCGUGCCUAACACAUGCAAGUCGAACGCGAAAGUCCCGCAAGGGGCAAGUAGAGUGGCAAACGGGUGAGUAACACGUGGGUGACCUGCCUUCGAGUGGGGGAUAACGUCCCGAAAGGGACGCUAAUACCGCAUGGCAUCCUGUCCUUAGACGGACGGAGAUCAAAGCUGGGGAUCGCAAGACCUGGCGCUUGAAGAGGGGCCCGCGCCUGAUUAGCUAGUUGGUGAGGUAACGGCUCACCAAGGCUACGAUCAGUAUCCGGCCUGAGAGGGCGACGGACACGACUGGGACUGAGACACGGCCCAGACUCCUACGGGAGGCAGCAGUGGGGAAUUGUCGCAAGUGGGCGCAAGCCUGACGCGCAACGCCGCGUGGACGGAGUGAAGAUCGUUCGGUCGUAAACGUCCUAGUCGAAGU
rnacentral:rRNA from 1 species